UACGUAGGGUGCGAGCGUUGUCCGGAAUUAUUGGGCGUAAAGAGCUCGUAGGCGGCUUGUCGCGUCGGAUGUGAAAGCCCGGGGCUUAACUCCGGGUCUGCAUUCGAUACGGGCAGGCUAGAGUUCGGUAGGGGAGAUCGGAAUUCCUGGUGUAGCGGUGGAAUGCGCAGAUAUCAGGAGGAACACCGAUGGCGAAGGCAGGUCUCUGGGCCACUACUGACGCUGAGAGACGAAAGCUAGGGGAGCGAAUGGG
rnacentral:rRNA from 1 species